rnacentral:misc_RNA from 1 species
AAAGUCGUAACAAGGUUUCCGUAGGUGAACCUGCGGAAGGAUCAUUAAUGAUUUUUUAAGCAAAUCGAGCGAAAGCGAGGUUUUGCGAAUAUAUUUAAAACCCCACUCUUUAUAAAAGAAAAAAUUUUCAUAUUCAUAAUAAAAAUGAAUAAAAAAAGAUCACUUUCAACAACGGAUCUCUUGGCUCUC